UUCGAAAGUACUAAAAUCAUCUUACUACUGGAACAAUUUACGGUUGUGUUCACGACAGGGGUGACGCACGAUUCUCUUCUUACACACGAAUUUCGAAUUCAAUCAUUUCUUACUUUGCAGCGUGAAACGACUUGAACGUCGAUUGUUUUACCUUCGCUAUCGGUUUACCUUUUCUUACUCAGUUAAAGAGUGGUGGUACGUAUCGACACCGUCAAACCAGGGAGAGUUCUCGGACAGCGCAUGCGUCAAAGUCACCAAACAGGCUGCAUGACGUCAUUGGCGGAAGACGAACGAGCUCAAUGGAAGACAAAGAGUGCCAACCACCAGACCAUGGCGAGGUCGAAAUCGUGUUGCAUCUGUGCGACCUCUUCACGUUGAACGAACAAAUGUACCGUUAGCUUAUGAUCGAAAAUGACGUCCUAAUCGAAAUGUGCCUUUUUAUUGCCGAAAACCCACACACGCACGGUAAAUAGUAAUUUUUUGUUUUUGUGUUUUACAAGGGUAGGCAAGGCCCUUUAAUUCAACAGAAGAACAACAAUUUUUACCCUCAAACAAUAGGUGAAUAAAAAGCGAUGAAAAUUGUCUCUGUGUUUAGAGUACGCGCAAUUUCAGUGUGAAAAACUG
rnacentral:lncRNA from 1 species